AUGAUUUUGUUUCUGAUGCCUGUAGGAUUGGAGAUGAAUGACUCACAGUCCCUCACGAUUCCCUGGAUCAACAGCCAGUAUUGUUUCUUACUAUUUAACAAUUUAAACAGAAAGAUGGAAAUGACUUUCUGCAAAGAACCACUCUUCCCCACGAGACUUAGAGAAGACCCACUGUCAUGGACUGACUUGUGUCCUCCUAAAAUUCAGAUGUUGGAGACCUAACCCCUAGUAACUCAGAGUGUAACCGUAUUUGGAGAGAAGGUCUUGAAAGAGGUGAUUAAGGUAAAAUGAAGUCACUAGAAUGGGCCCUAAUCCAACCUGACAGCUGUCCUCAUAAGAAGAGGAGAUGAAGGCACAGACAGACACGGAGGAAAGACCAUGUAGGGACACAGGGAGAAGACGGCCACAUACAAGCCGAGGAGAGAGGCCAGAGAAGAAACCAGCUCUGCCCAUGCGUUGAUCUGGGACUUCCAGCCUCCAGCACGGUGAGACGACGCAUCUCUGUGGUUAAGCCCCUACUCUGCUGUACUUUGUUAUGGCAGCCCUAGCAGACCAGGAGGUGGUCCAUUCAUAAAUGCCCUAUACUCGUUCUUGUGAUUCCCAUAAGAGUCAUGGGUGACCCCCUGUUUCCUGUGAUAAGGACACAUAGAGACCCUUCAAAUUGCCAUUCUUUGUUUAUUAAAUGAUUAGCUGAACUAUUUGUCCCUCCAAAGGAGCUAGAAGUUCCUUGUCCAGCUGAUUGACAGAUGUCUCCUGAUGACAAAAACACCCCAACUGUAAAAUCACCCCUACCUAGAACUGGUUCACUUCUCCCUAUGAAAGUCUGGACAAAACCACCUGCCAGGACACUCUGGUUUGAGGAUCUGGGUGCUCUCCCUACUGCAAUAGCCUGAACACAGUCAGUUUGCUUACACAAUUCAGGUCUUUAUCUUUGAAAGUUGGCUGCUGUAACGUGGAUGAGAUUGGAAGCCCAUCUGGUGCCCUGUCUUCUCCACCCAGGAGCUGGGGCCCCUUGAGCUUGUCGAGCUCCUUCUGUGACUGAUCAGUGAUUCCACCAUGAGUCUAGCUCCUGGCCCCGUGCUCUGGAUACCCGUCCCUGGCAGCAUGGUAAGGAUUUGAUUUUGAUUCUUUGCUUCAGUGCUCUUCUGGCUUUGUUUUGUAGUUGGCUUCUGUUUAACCUUGGUACAAUGGGGAUUUCUCAACCUACUUUUCACCCCCUUUA
rnacentral:lncRNA from 13 species